CCUACGGGAGGCAGCAGUGAGGAAUAUUGGUCAAUGGGCGGGAGCCUGAACCAGCCAAGUCGCGUGAGGGAAGACGGUCCUAUGGAUUGUAAACCUCUUUAGGCGGGGAGCAAUGCCGGGCACGUGUGCCCGGAGGGAGAGUACCCGCAGAAUAAGCAUCGGCUAACUCCGUGCCAGCAGCCGCGGUAAUACGGAGGCUGCGAGCGUUAUCCGGAUUUAUUGGGUUUAAAGGGUGCGUAGGCGGAGUUUUAAGUCAGCGGUAAAAUGUCCGGGCUCAACCCGGGCCGGCCGUUGAAACUGGGGGUCUUGAGUGGGCGAGAAGUAUGCGGAAUGCGUGGUGUAGCGGGGAAAUGCAUAGAUAGCACGCAGAACUCCGAUUGCGAAGGCAGCAUACCGGCGCCCGACUGACGCUGAGGCACGAAAGCGUGGGGAUCGAACAGGAUUAGAUACCCUUGUAGUC
rnacentral:rRNA from 1 species